AUACUUACCUGGCACAGGGGAUACCGUGAUCAUGAAGGCGGUUCCCCCAGGGCGAGGCUCACCAUUGCACUCCGGUGUUGCUGACCCUUGCGAUUACCCCAAAUGUGGGUAACUCGGGUGCGUAAUUUUUGGUAGCGGGGGACUGCGUUCGCGCUAUCCCCCA